UUUCCGUAGGUGAACCUGCGGAAGGAUCAUUAUUGUAUAACCGAGGUGCGAGGGCUGUCGCUGACCCGAAAGGUCGUGCACGCCCGAGUGCCCUCACACACAUCCAUCUCACCCCUAUGUGCACCACCGCGUGGGUCCCCCUUUGGCUUGUUCGGAGGGGGGCUUACGUUUUCACACAAACUUUGUAUGCAGUGUAGAAUGUAUUUUUUGUUUUUGCGAUCACGCAAUCAAUACAACUUUCAACAACGGAUCUCUUGGCUCUCGCAUCGAUGAAGAGCGCAGC
rnacentral:misc_RNA from 1 species